UACGGAGGGUGCAAGCGUUAAUCGGAAUUACUGGGCGUAAAGCGCACGCAGGCGGCUUGGUAAGUUAGAUGUGAAAGCCCCGGGCUCAACUCGGGAACUGCAUCUGAUACUGGAAAGCUUGAGUCUAGUAGAGGUGAGUAGAAUUCCGAGUGUAGCGGUGAAAUGCGUAGAGAUUCGGAGGAAUACCGGUGGCGAAGGCGGCCCCCUGGACGAAGACUGACGCUGAGGUGCGAAAGCGUGGGGAGCAAACAGG
rnacentral:rRNA from 1 species